UACGGAGGGUCCAAGCGUUAUCCGGAUUCACUGGGUUUAAAGGGUGCGUAGGCGGUCAGGUAAGUCAGUGGUGAAAGCCUCCAGCUUAACUGGAGAAUGGCCAUUGAAAUUACCUGACUUGAGUACAGUCGGAGCGGGCGGAAUGUAGCAUGUAGCGGUGAAAUGCAUAGAUAUGCUACAGAACGCCGAUCGCGAAAGCAGCUCGCU
rnacentral:rRNA from 1 species